rnacentral:pre_miRNA from 1 species
CAGAGGCGGGCUCCGUGCCGGCCUGCCCAGCUGCAGAUCUCGGAUGUUUCCCUGAGACAAAAACAGAGAAGGAAGAGGCCCAUGUAAGAUGGGCUUUCAAGUCAGCUCAAGCACCCACUUCUCACUACCGAUGUCCUCUACAAGCACUAUUCCCUCGAUUAGUACCAUACCGCUUGCCGAACGACGCCAAGACCAGCUUAAAUACGCGCUUCCCACCAUCUCCACCAGCCGGGCUCGGUCGCGCGUGCCUGUUACUC